GACGAACGCUGGCGGCGUGCUUAACACAUGCAAGUCGAACGAAGUGGCGAACGGGUGAGUAACGCGUAAUCAACCUGCCCUUCAGAGGGGGAUAACAGUUGGAAACGACUGCUAAUACCGCAUACUGAAGGUGGGGAUUGCGUCGGAUUAGCUAGUUGGAGGGGUAACGGCCCACCAAGGCGAGGAUCAGUAGCCGGUCUGGGAGGAUGGACGGCCACAUUGGGACUGAGACACGGCCCAGACUCCUACGGGAGGCAGCAGUGGGGAAUUGUCCGCAAUGGACGAAAGUCCUACCCAGCAACUCCGCGUGAGUGAUGACGGCCUUCGGGUUGUAAAGCUCUGUUAAUCGGGACGCGGUACCUGAAUAGAAAGCCACGGCUAACUACGUGCCAGCAGCCGCGGUAAUAC
rnacentral:rRNA from 1 species